AGUACAACCCUGUCUCAGCCCGUUAUUUGCCCCUGAAGCCCCCGCACAAGUGCUGCUUGCCAAAAAUUUUAAUAUGAGCCUUAGUUUGAGCCAGCCUUUAAAAAUUCAUAACUCGGCCACCCUAAAUCCCAGCCCUGCAAAAAGUUACAGGCACCUCCUUCUCCCCAAGUGGCACACUAAAUAAGACAAUAACAAUACACUUAGUAUUCACUGUUUUUACUGCAUGAUGCAGUUGAACUAGUGUUUUAGGGUUGACAGUAUUUGAUUGAUCUCGUCAGUUGAUUAGGUUAUUGUGACACUGGCUUGAAUUUUGCCACGUAAGCGGCGUGUGGGUCAAACGCCAAGAAAUUAGGUGUAUUUUGUCCAAAAUUAAAGCCCUGUGACGUUAUGUGACAUUCCUGUGGGUAUCUGGAGGUUUGUAUGGGGUUCAAGGGAUGUAAAGUUAUGGUAUACUGAGGUUUAUGCAUUAUGCAUUGCCACUGGGUAACUGUUUCGUUGGCGUGGCGUUUCAUUCUUAACAUUGUGCAGCAUAUCUGCAACGUUCACAGGUGGGUAUAAAAGGGGGCCCCAUGCUGCGUUUGUUGUCAUUUAUCACAGUUAAGAAAGCAUCAUGCCAGCGAAGACGUCAAGACCCAAGAAGGGCAAGGGGAAGAGGGAAGACAUCAGCUGCAUCCACCCAGGCAGCCCCGGAGCCACCUUCACCAGACACGUCAACUAAAGCAUUCACACAGCAUAAUGUACGUUGUGGUGGAGUUCCUGAGCGAACGUGGUGCAGUUUCUGUUGUGCAAGUAAUCUGGACAGGCACAGAAGCCGAGCUAGGGUCAUUUCUACUACUAGCCACCUGGCUUAGUAGCAAGCUGCUCGAGUAGAGUUCGGCAUGUGAGGAACCUGACAAGCAACGCUGGAAAAGGGUGCCAGUCAGGAUCUUUGCAAAUACCUUUACUGCUAAGGAGUCUCUCCUUUUAUGACUAAUAGGGCUAUGAGAAAGCACUCUGGUUUGAGCAACAGGCUGAGGAUACCUCAAACAUCUGAGACGGGCCCAGGCAAGAGGACACCAGAAUGUGUCCAAAAUCGAGAGACAGACCAUGAAUCAGUAGAUGCCAAUGGUGAUGAUGAUGAUGAGCUACCAACACCAAGGAACAGAAUGAAAGAGGACUUUGUUGUGCCCAUGCCCAAUCCUCCUGCUUUUGAUGGGGCAACCACUUCUUCCCGCCGCUCAUCUGCCAACAGGAUCAGGCAGAGCACAUCGGGGUC